GACAGAGGGUGCAAACGUUGUUCGGAAUUACUGGGCGUAAAGCGCGUGUAGGCUGCUUCGAAAGUCGGAUGUGAAAGCCCUGGGCUCAACCUAGGAAGUGCAUUCGAAACUUCGAGCUGGAGCCUGGAGAGGAAGGCGGAAUUCGUCGGAUGUGAGAGGUGAAAUUCGUAGAUAUCGAGAGGAACACCGGUGGCGAAGGCGGC
rnacentral:rRNA from 1 species